rnacentral:rRNA from 2 species
CGCCGCGUGAGUGAUGAAGGUUUUCGGAUCGUAAAACUCUGUUGUUAGGGAAGAACAAGUACCGUUCGAAUAGGGCGGUACCUUGACGGUACCUAACCAGAAAGCCACGGCUAACUACGUGCCAGCAGCCGCGGUAAUACGUAGGUGGCAAGCGUUGUCCGGAAUUAUUGGGCGUAAAGCGCGCGCAGGCGGUUUCUUAAGUCUGAUGUGAAAGCCCCCGGCUCAACCGGGGAGGGUCAUUGGAAACUGGGGAACUUGAGUGCAGAAGAGGAGAGUGGAAUUCCACGUGUAGCGGUGAAAUGCGUAGAGAUGUGGAGGAACACCAGUGGCGAAGGCGACUCUCUGGUCUGUAACUGACGCUGAGGCGCGAAAGCGUGGGGAGCGAACAGGAUUAGAUACCCUGGUAGUCCACGCCGUAAACGAUGAGUGCUAAGUGUUAGAGGGUUUCCGCCCUUUAGUGCUGCAGCAAACGCAUUAAGCACUCCGCCUGGGGAGUACGGUCGCAAGACUGAAACUCAAAGGAAUUGACGGGGGCCCGCACAAGCGGUGGAGCAUGUGGUUUAAUUCGAAGCAACGCGAAGAACCUUACCAGGUCUUGACAUCCUCUGACAACCCUAGAGAUAGGGCUUCCCCUUCGGGGGCAGAGUGACAGGUGGUGCAUGGUUGUCGUCAGCUCGUGUCGUGAGAUGUUGGGUUAAGUCCCGCAACGAGCGCAACCCUUGAU